AGGCCCGGCCGGCAGGGGGCGCCCCGGGGCGCUGAUAGAGGAUGCCGGCGACUUGGUCCCGCAGGAGGCGCGGCCCCUGGCCGACAGGGACCCUGCUAGGUUGGCGGGAUGAAGAGGAGUCGCAGCGUCCUGUCGGUGGCCGGGACCGGGGACGAGAGACUGCGGGAGACCCUCGAGCCCGGCCGUGCCAACAUGCUGGGGGCCGACCUCCGUCGCCCUCGCCGUCGCCUUUCCACCGGUCCCGGCCUGGGCUGGGCUGACCCUGAGCCCUCGGAGCCUGGGGUCCCUCUGCCGCCGCAGCCCACCACGCUGCCACUGCUGGUCCCUCCGCGGAUCUCCAUCACCAAAGCCAACAGGAGAUCUCCCGCACGCCGCCGCUGCCCGCCACAGGGACCGCGUCCGUGGCACCGGGACCACUCCCCACGCGCUCCCCCGGGCCAGGGGUAGCGGCGAGGACACGCCAGCGCCGGGCUCCGCCCCCGCCAUGAUGGACAGACUGACUGACACAAAGGCAACCAGUCGGGUGUCUUCUUCCCAAUCGGAUUAACCGUUUAACUCCUUCGUGCCCGUGCGCGCAGCGGCCAGGCAGCGCGCUCUGGAGAGAGCCGAGUUCCGGCGCCCCCUCCCCGCCGGGAGCGGGGCUCUGCGUGGGCGGGGAGGUUUCCCCCCCUCCUUGGGUGGCUGCCCCCCACUGGCCCGGACGGAGGAGGAGGGGGGCGGCGCUGACAGCCGCGGCGGGCGGGGGGCGGGGAG
rnacentral:lncRNA from 1 species